rnacentral:rRNA from 1 species
UACGUAGGGGGCAAGCGUUGUCCGGAUUUACUGGGCGUAAAGAGCGUGUAGGCGGCCACGCAGGUCCGUUGUGAAAACUGGAGGCUCAACCUUCAGACGUCGACGGAAACCGUGUGGCUAGAGUCCGGAAGAGGAGAGUGGAAUUCCUGGUGUAGCGGUGAAAUGCGCAGAUAUCAGGAAGAACACCAGUGGCGAAGGCAGCUCUCUGGGACGGUACUGACGCUGAGACGCGAAAGCGUGGGGAGCGAACAGG